UACGGAGGGUGCAAGCGUUAUCCGGAUUCACUGGGUUUAAAGGGUGCGUAGGUGGGCAAGUAAGUCAGUGGUGAAAUCUCCGGGCUUAACCCGGAAACUGCCAUUGAUACUAUUUGUCUUGAAUACUGUGGAGGUCAGCGGAAUAUGUCAUGUAGCGGUGAAAUGCUUAGAUAUGACAUAGAACACCAAUUGCGAAGGCAGCUGGCUACAUAAAUAUUGACACUGAGGCACGAAAGCGUGGGGAUCAAACAGG
rnacentral:rRNA from 1 species